UACGUAGGGGGCCAGCGUUGUCCGGAAUCAUUGGGCGUAAAGAGCGCGUAGGCGGCCAGAUAAGUCUGGUGUGAAAGUCAAAGGCUCAACCUUUGAAUGCCGCUGGAAACUGUCUGGCUAGAGUCCGGGAGGGGCGAGUGGAAUUCCUGGUGUAGCGGUGAAAUGCGCAGAUAUCAGGAGGAACACCAAUGGCGAAGGCAGCUCGCUGGAACGGUACUGACGCUGAGGCGCGAAAAGCGUGGGGGAGCAAAACAGG
rnacentral:rRNA from 1 species